CCUACGGGUGGCUGCAGUGGGGAAUAUUGGACAAUGGGCGAAAGCCUGAUCCAGCCAUGCCGCGUGUGUGAAGAAGGCCUUCGGGUUGUAAAGCACUUUCAGUGGGGAAGAAAGCCUUGGGGCUAAUACCCUCGAGGAAGGACAUCACCCACAGAAGAAGCACCGGCUAACUCCGUGCCAGCAGCCGCGGUAAUACGGAGGGUGCGAGCGUUAAUCGGAAUUACUGGGCGUAAAGCGCGCGUAGGCGGUCUGAUAAGCCGGUUGUGAAAGCCCCGGGCUCAACCUGGGAACGGCAUCCGGAACUGUCAGGCUAGAGUGCCGGAGAGGAAGGUAGAAUUCCCGGUGUAGCGGUGAAAUGCGUAGAGAUCGGGAGGAAUACCAGUGGCGAAGGCGGCCUUCUGGACUGACACUGACGCUGAGGUGCGAAAGCGUGGGUAGCAAACAGGAUUAGAUACCCGGGUAGUC
rnacentral:rRNA from 1 species